GGGGCGGAAAGGUUUCGACAGAACUUCGGUUGUGGAUGUGGGUUCAACUCCCACCCGCUCCACCA
rnacentral:tmRNA from 1 species